UUUAAAUAUUAUAACAUAAAACAUGUUACUGGUAUACCACACAAUCCUACAGGACAAGCAGUGGUUGAGAGAUCUAAUUGUACUUUAAUGGAAAUGCUCUAUAAACAGGCAGGGGGAACCAAGACCCCCCAAAAACAGAUUACAUAAUGCUUUACUAACCUUAAACUUUCUUAAUGCUAAUGAGACAAUAGAAAAAAUUGCUGAGCUAAUUCAGUUGGUGUACUGAUGGGGAAUGUACUGUGUAUGUUUAUCUUAUUGGUUGUUAAAUAAAAUACUGUUUGGCCAAUGAGACAGCAAGUAUAUGGGAGCUAGAAGUCAAAGAGGAUUCUGGGAAAUGUAGUAGAGAAGUGCUGAUCCGGGCAGGAAGUGACAUAGCAAGGAGACUCAUAUUUGAGCGAGGAGCGAGGAGAAAUGGGAAGUUCCCUCUUUCCCCUUUGCCUCCUCCAGCAGCAGGAUGUUAUCCACCAGCAAGGAGGGACGCCAAUAAGGCGUCUGAUAAGUUAAGUCUUAUAAAAUAUAUAGAUGUUUGAUAUUUGAGACUGAGCUAACAGAUGAGAAUCCUAGUCAUUGGCCAAGCAGUUUUGAACCUAAUACAAGUUUCUGUGUAUUCAUUUGGGCCUAACUCAGGCGGGCGGCUGGUGAAAAGCUUACACGUGGCGGUGGGGCUCAGCGGCUUUUGGCGGAAAGAUUUAUUGUAACAGUGUACUUCAAGGAUGCAUUGACUUCUCUAUGGAAACCAGGAUAUGUGUUACAUUGGGGUAAGGGUUUCACCUUUAUUUCUUCAGGUGAAGAAAAGCUUUGGACACCACCAAAUUGAUCAAGAUCUGAUUUGAACAGGAGAAACCUCUUGAUGAGGAGAAAUGAUAGGCCAUCCACCAAUGCAUAUCCAACGAGUUGUAUGGAGACCUCACAAAGACAAUGGAGGACUCUUGCAUGUCAAACAUGGAAUGAUGCCCAGGAAGAAGAUCAUGGGCCUCUGCAGAUGUCCAGGGAUAAAUACUAC
rnacentral:lncRNA from 1 species